rnacentral:tRNA from 1 species
GGGGAUUUAGCUCAGUGGUAGAGUGUUUGCCUAACAAGCGCAAAGCCCUGGGUUCGGUCCCAGCUCCG